rnacentral:rRNA from 1 species
CAAUAAGCGGAGGAAAAGAAACCAACAGGGGAUUGCCUCAGUAACGGCGAGUGAAGCGGCAACAGCUCAAAUUUGAAAUCUGGCCUCUACCGUCACGAGUUGUAAUUUGUAGGAGGAUGUCUUGGGCACCGCUGUGGGUUAAAUCUUCUUGAGAAACGAGAAUUGUUCAAAAGGAGGGGGUGAAAGAAGUUCCCCGUUUCUUUAGGCCCCCGCCCGGCUAAGGGAACCCUAUUGUUAAACAACCUCCCUUUACGAACGAAGUUACGUAACUUGUUGGUGGGGAAACUGCCAUGGGUCAAAAAUUGGGGGUGGGUAAANCUUCAUUCUAACGCUAAAUAUGGGCCAGAGACCGAUAGCGCACAUAGUAGAGUGAUCGAAAGAUGAAAAGCACUUUGAAGAGAGAGUUAAACAGUAUGUGAUAUUGUAGAAGGAGGAAGCGCUGGGCAACCAGACUCGAGCGCGGUGUACCCCCUGGCUUCUGCCUGGGUUAUUUCACCGUGACCGGGCCAUCAUCAGUGUCGACGGGCUGGUUAAAGACCCAGUGUAAUGUAUCCUCUCCUUCUGGGGUAGGACUUAUAGCCCCGGGUGUUAUGCAGCCUCUCUGGACUGAGGAUCGCGCUUUUGCGAUGAUGAUGGCGUAAUGGUUGUCAGCGAACCGU